CACAGAGCACAAAGAAAGAACCGAAAGAAACGCUUGAUGACAAAAAGUUUACAAUCAUUGUAUCAGAAAACAUUCAAGCAGAAUCUAUUGACUGCAUUAAAAUCAGAUAUAACAUGAUUUUUCCACAAGAUGAAGUGACAAUCCCAUACAAAAAGAAGUUGUUUGAAGGAGAUCCAUCAAAUAUUGUUCAUUCAAAAACUGUCAAAGAGGUGAAUUCUGAUACAAAUGAUGUUUUCGACUUAAAUGAGCAUCGACGUGGAGAGUUUGAGUAUGGUUUCAUACUGGAAUGGGGCUGUAACCAAACUUAUGUUUUCCCAAAGAAAGUUCAUGUUUCAGUUACUGCUCCAUCAAAACCACGUAUCUUUGUUCCUUAUCUAGUGGAAAGACAACGUGUGAUGUUUUGGUGUAUGGCUCCAUCAUCAUGUUCUCGCAGAGAACAUAUUCACUUUUAUUGGACAACGAAUGAUGGAAAAUCUACAGUACUUGAUGAUGAUAUGGAUUGGUGGUUUGCAAGAGAAAUGUUUUACCUUUAUCCAACAGCAGAGCAUCACAACACCAACAUCACAUGUUUGGUACAAUAUGAACAUGAUGCUGUUGAAACAACUG